AGUGAACGCUGGCGGUAGGCCUAACACAUGCAAGUCGAACGGCAGCACAGUAAGAGCUUGCUCUUACGGGUGGCGAGUGGCGGACGAGUGAGGAAUACAUCGGAAUCUACUUUUUCGUGGGGGAUAACGUAGGGAAACUUACGCUAAUACCGCAUACGACCUACGGGUGAAAGCAGGGGUUCUUCGGACCUUGCGCGAUUGAAUGAGCCGAUGUCGGAUUAGCUAGUUGGCGGGGUAAAGGCCCACCAAGGCGACGAUCCGUAGCUGGUCUGAGAGGAUGAUCAGCCACACUGGAACUGAGACACGGUCCAGACUCCUACGGGAGGCAGCAGUGGGGAAUAUUGGACAAUGGGCGCAAGCCUGAUCCAGCCAUACCGCGUGGGUGAAGAAGGCCUUCGGGUUGUAAAGCCCUUUUGUUGGGAAAGAAAAGCAGCAGGUUAAUACCCCGCUGUUCUGACGGUACCCAAAGAAUAAGCACCGGCUAACUUCGUG
rnacentral:rRNA from 1 species